AACGCGAAGAACCUUACCAGCCCUUGACAUGUCCGGGACCGGUCGCAGAGAUGUGACCUUCUCUUCGGAGCCCGGAACACAGGUGCUGCAUGGCUGUCGUCAGCUCGUGUCGUGAGAUGUUGGGUUAAGUCCCGCAACGAGCGCAACCCCCGUCCUUAGUUGCUACCAUUUAGUUGAGCACUCUAAGGAGACUGCCGGUGAUAAGCCGCGAGGAAGGUGGGGAUGACGUCAAGUCCUCAUGGCCCUUACGGGCUGGGCUACACACGUGCUACAAUGGCGGUGACAAUGGGACGCUAAGGGGCAACCCUUCGCAAAUCUCAAAAAGCCGUCUCAGUUCGGAUUGGGCUCUGCAACUCGAGCCCAUGAAGUUGGAAUCGCUAGUAAUCGUGGAUCAGCAUGCCACGGUGAAUACGUUCCCGGGCCUUGUA
rnacentral:rRNA from 1 species